rnacentral:rRNA from 1 species
CCUACGGGAGGCUGCAGUGAGGAAUAUUGGUCAAUGGGCGAGAGCCUGAACCAGCCAAGUAGCGUGCAGGAUGACGGCCCUAUGGGUUGUAAACUGCUUUUGUAUGGGGAUAAAGUCAAUCACGUGUGAUUGUUUGCAGGUACCAUACGAAUAAGGACCGGCUAAUUCCGUGCCAGCAGCCGCGGUAAUACGGAAGGUCCGGGCGUUAUCCGGAUUUAUUGGGUUUAAAGGGAGCGUAGGCUGGAGAUUAAGUGUGUUGUGAAAUGUAGACGCUCAACGUCUGACUUGCAGCGCAUACUGGUUUCCUUGAGUACGCACAACGUUGGCGGAAUUCGUCGUGUAGCGGUGAAAUGCUUAGAUAUGACGAAGAACUCCGAUUGCGAAGGCAGCUGACGGGAGCGCAACUGACGCUUAAGCUCGAAGGUGCGGGUAUCAAACAGGAUUAGAUACCCGGGUAGUC